rnacentral:rRNA from 1 species
ACUGCUCAGUAACACGUGGAUAACCUGCCCUUGGGUCCGGCAUAACUCCGGGAAACUGGAGAUAAUUCCGGAUAACGCAUAUAUGCUGGAAUGCUUUAUGCGUAAAAUGGAUUCGUCUGCCCAAGGAUGGGUUUGCGGCCUAUCAGGUAGUAGUGGGUGUAAUGUACCUACUAGCCUACGACGGGUACGGGUUGUGAGAGCAAGAGCCCGGAGAUGGAUUCUGAGAUAUGAAUCCAGGCCCUACGGGGCGCAGCAGGCGCGAAAACUUUACAAUGCGGGAAACCGUGAUAAGGGGACACCGAGUGCCAGCAUUAUAUGCUGGCUGUCCAGGUGUGUAAAAUACACCUGUUAGCAAGGGCCGGGUAAGACCGGUGUUAGCCGUUGUGGUAACACCGGCGGCCCGAGUGGUGAUUGUGAUUAUUGGGUUUAAAGGGUCCGUAGCCGGUUUGGUCAGUCCUCCGGGAAAUCUGAUAGUUUAACUAUUAGGCUUUCGGAGGAUACUGCCAGACUUGGAACCGGGAGAGGUAAGAGGUACUACAGGGGUAGGAGUGAAAUCUUGUAAUCCCUGUGGGACCACCUGUGGUGAAGGCGUCUUACCAGAACGGGUUCGACGGUGAGGGACGAAAGCUGGGGGUACGAACCGGAUUAGAUAUCCGGGUAGUCCCAGCCGUAAAUGAUGCUCGCUAGGUGUCAGGCAUGGCGUGACCGUGUCUGGUGCCGCAGGGAAGCCGUGAAGCGAGCCACCUGGGAAGUAUGGCCGUAAGGCUGAAAUUUAAAGGAAUUGGCGGGGGAGCAC